rnacentral:lncRNA from 1 species
UCGCUAAACCCCAUCCUUAUCUCUCAACUGCUAUGAAUACACGUUCUUUUCCUCUCAUUCUUAGACUACUUUAAGACCUGGAACAGGAGCUGUCAAUGCGCAAGGAGUCCCUUAUCUCUUUCAUAAGAUUUAUGAAAGGUUUGUACAUUUUGCCAGGGAAACUGAGCUGCACGUGAGUUGUGCCUGGCUCCCCAGAACCUGCAGCAAUGUGCUCCUUUGUCGUUAAAAGUCCCGACUUGACCCCACCCCCACCCCAGCCCCCACCCCCAUGGCUUCCAUCCAGUUUCCAGAGCUGGAAAUCAGACACGAGACAUAUCAGGCAGUGAGUGGAACAAACAAGUUGAAGGAGAAUCCACAGCUGCAAAUAUUGCACCAACAGCUAAGAAGGCACCUGGAGUUCCCGCAGGCACCUGGUGGCCCCCUCUGCUCAACCAGUGCUCCCGCCAAAGCUGAAACAGAUUGCCUCCACAAAGUCUUCUCAGCUUCUUGCUUUCCCUUAAAGCUGCCGCUUCCUAAUCCUUUGAUCCCUGUCCCACUGAAGUCUUUGAGAGUGGAACAGAAAGGACAGAGUUGAGAUUUUGGUGUGACAGUAGACGAAAAUCAAUUUUGGCUUCCCAAACAUAGGAGUGGUGCAAAAGAUCACCAGUCACAAAUAGAUGUUCUUUAUCGUUGUCCUGAGUGGCUGGAAAUGCCCAGGAGGCGUGAUGCACUACAGACAAUAGGAGGCACCUUUUUUCUUAAAGAAUAAAAGAAAUUAAGUCUGACUUUGAGACCACAUCCUGAAUGUCAGUGCCCUAUCCAGCCUAAGGAUUCCUUGUGUUUUUCCUUGAUGUGACAGAUUUUAAGCACACUGGCAUUCUAUCAGAGGAUUUACACAUUGAUUAGCAGUUAAAAGCAUUUGUCGGUAAGUUUAGUUGGAGGACUGUUUCCUACUCUAGGAAAACCAGGCCUUCCCUGUAAUUGGCAGUCCUAUUAUAAGUGGAUAUUCUGUUAAGCUUCUAAGAACUUCUAAAAACUUAUUAAGUAAUUGAAUAAAGCAGAGUGUGUUUAGUCUUACAGUUGCACCAUAUUUCAGAAUAUCAUAUAACCUAUGAGUCAGUUCAGAUGUUAUAUGUAAGUGAUAAAACAUGGGAUAAAAAGCAAACUGAAAUAAAAAAUGGCAUGAAUUACCAUACCACCCACUAAUGCAUUCCAUAGCGAUUUAGUCAUCUUCUCUCCUAAUUGUACUCUUAAAGAUUUGACUACAACUAUUUUUAUCCUCAGAAUAAAGCUAUUAUACCCCAAAAGGUAUAAAGAAAUUACGAUAGACUUUUCAUAAUUUAUAACAAACAUGGUUGUUUUGAAUGGGCUUAAUUAUUAUCUCAAUUCAGUUCAAUGCGAUGGUGAUUUAUUGCCUUUUGAGAGCUGUUUGUGAAGGUCUCAUUAGGAAGAGUUACUAAACGAUACAGUAGAACACAUAUAAAGGAAUAUUUAAUGUCCUCAGUAAUAGAAACACUGCUUCUUACGCUCUAUUUGCAUGCCAAAAAUUCUAAGCUGCAAACACACCCCACUAUAAUAAUAGAAUUUAAAAAUUAGUCUAUAUUUUUUUGGCUAUUGCAUAGAGAGAAAAGAAGUGCAGCUUUUCUUAAAUGAGAGAAAUAUGUGCUGUUUAGGUAAGUAGGGUUUAAAUCUAUGUGGAGAUUUGGAUGUAUUAGGGAGGCAUAAUAGAUCACUUGCUGGAAAUAAGAGAUACAAUUCUAGUUUCUCGACCCCUAGUGUUUCUUAAAUAUAUGCUUAUUCUGUGAACACCAAGAAAGUGAAAUAAAUUUAACUGUAGCAUAACCAGCAGAUUUCAUUGGCUCGGCAUCUGAUCUGUGGUUUGUUUGUUUUUGUGUUUUAGGAUGCCACCCUCAGCACAUGGACGUUCCCAGUCUAGGGGUCGAAUUGGUGCUGCAGCUGCCUGCCGACACCACAGCCACAGCAAUGCCAGAUCCAAGCCUCGCCUUUGACCUACACCACAGAUCAUGGCAGUGGUGGAUCCUUAACCCACAGAGUGAGGCUACGGAACGAAUCCGCAUCUUCAUGGAUACUAGUCAGAUUUGUUUCCGCUGAGCCACGACGGGAACUCCCUGUAGUUUAGUCAUAUCCUUUGAAAAUUUGAAAAAUUGAAUGGAAAUCAAUAUAAGAUAUGAUGAUUUAAUUACGUCCCCUUCUUGAUGAGAGACACAUAGUUACUACUUGUUUCUGGAUGUCCAUAAUUAACCUUCAUUUCAGGAGCUUAAAUUCCAUUUAUCAUAUUUAUUUGUAGAAACACCUCUCAUGAACUCUGGGUAAUCCUCUCUGCAUUUCUGGAAGGUGUACCCGAAAUCCUGUAAACAAAGCACUUAAUUUUGGGCAGUGAUUAUAUUGUUAACGUACUGACAAUAAUAGUGACUACAAAUAAAAGACAGUCUUUCUUACACUUAAAUUUAUCUGUAGAGUAGAGCUUGGAGGGUAACUAGGGUGAUUGAUGUCAUCAGUAGCUAAGAACGCAUGGUAGAUUUUCCUAAGUUACCAAAACUCUGGAGAUCAAAACAAAUCCAUUAAUUUCCUGUUAUAUCAUCCUUUUAGUAAAUCCUGGUACACAAAUGAAAUUCCAGCUAGAGAUAAGCAAGGUGUCUGCAAGAGCAUAAUCAUUUAUCUUGAUAGCAGGCGUGAAACUCUGGUAAAAGAACAAAUAAACUUUUGAAGAAAUAGCUCUGAACUAGAGUGCAAAUGAAGUGCAAAGCAUCAGCCGUUUCACGUGGGCAUCGAGGUUAUAAAUGGUAUUUUCAAGAGCUUUCAUAGUGGACAAGGACAGGCGUUUAGCCUAGUUGACUCCUUAGAACAAAUGUCAUUAAAGCAGUGUGGUGAGAGUGACUGAUUCAAUCUUUAUU